rnacentral:rRNA from 1 species
GAUGAACGCUGGCGGCGUGCCUAAUACAUGCAAGUCGAGCGAACAGACGAGGAGCUUGCUCCUCUGACGUUAGCGGCGGACGGGUGAGUAACACGUGGAUAACCUACCUAUAAGACUGGGAUAACUUCGGGAAACCGGAGCUAAUACCGGAUAACAUGUUGAACCGCAUGGUUCAACAGUGAAAGACGGUCUUGCUGUCACUUAUAGAUGGAUCCGCGCCGCAUUAACUAGUUGGUAAGGUAACGGCUUACCAAGGCAACGAUGCGUAGCCGACCUGAGAGGGUGAUCGGCCACACUGGAACUGAGACACGGUCCAGACUCCUACGGGAGGCAGCAGUAGGGAAUCUUCCGCAAUGGGCGAAAGCCUGACGGAGCAACGCCGCGUGAGUGAAGAAGGUCUUCGGAUCGUAAAACUCUGUUAUUAGGGAAGAACAAAUGUGUAAGUAACUAUGCACGUCCUGACGGUACCUAAUCAGAAAGCCACGGCUAACUACGUG